ACGAACGCUGGCGGCGUGCUUAACCCCUGCAAGUCGAACGGAAAGGCCCUGCUUUUGUGGGGUGCUCGAGUGGCGAACGGGUGAGUAACACGUGAGUAACCUGCCCUUGACUUUGGGAUAACUUCAGGAAACUGGGGCUAAUACCGGAUAGGAGCUCCUGCUGCAUGGUGGGGGUUGGAAAGUUUCGGCGGUUGGGGAUGGACUCGCGGCUUAUCAGCUUGUUGGUGGGGUAGUGGCUUACCAAGGCUUUGACGGGUAGCCGGCCUGAGAGGGUGACCGGCCACAUUGGGACUGAGAUACGGCCCAGACUCCUACGGGAGGCAGCAGUGGGGAAUAUUGCACAAUGGGCGGAAGCCUGAUGCAGCAACGCCGCGUGCGGGAUGACGGCCUUCGGGUUGUAAACCGCUUUCGCCUGUGACGAAGCGUGAGUGACGGUAAUGGGUAAAGAAGCACCGGCUAACUACGU
rnacentral:rRNA from 1 species